rnacentral:tRNA from 1 species
UCUAAUAUGGCAGAUUAGUGCCUUGGAUUUAAGUCCCAAAUAUAAAAUAUAUAUCUAUAUUUUUUUUAGAA